AGAGUUUGAUCCUGGCUCAGAUUGAACGCUGGCGGCAGGCUUAACACAUGCAAGUCGAGCGGAAACGACAACAUUGAUUCUUCGGAGGAUUUGUUGGGCGUCGAGCGGCGGACGGGUGAGUAAUGCUUAGGAAUUUGCCCAGUUGAGGGGGAUAACUAUUGGAAACGAUAGCUAAUACCGCAUACGCUGCGGGGAGGAAAGAGGGGGACCUUCGGGCCUCUCGCGAUUGGAUAAGCCUAAGUGAGAUUAGCUAGUUGGUGAGGUAAGAGCUCACCAAGGCGACGAUCUCUAGCUGGUCUGAGAGGAUGAUCAGCCACACUGGAACUGAGACACGGUCCAGACUCCUACGGGAGGCAGCAGUGGGGAAUAUUGCACAAUGGGCGAAAGCCUGAUGCAGCCAUGCCGCGUGUAUGAAGAAGGCCUUCGGGUUGUAAAGUACUUUCAGCAGUGAGGAAGGGCGGUACGUUAAUAGCGUAUUGUCUUGACGUUAGCUGCAGAAGAAGCACCGGCUAACUCCGUGCCAGCAGCCGCGGUAAUACGGAGGGUGCGAGCGUUAAUCGGAAUUACUGGGCGUAAAGCGCAUGCAGGUGGUUUGUUAAGUCAGAUGUGAAAGCCCGAGGCUCAACCUCGGAAGGUCAUUUGAAACUGGCAAACUAGAGUACUGUAGAGGGGGGUAGAAUUUCAGGUGUAGCGGUGAAAUGCGUAGAGAUCUGAAGGAAUACCAGUGGCGAAGGCGGCCCCCUGGACAGAUACUGACACUCAGAUGCGAAAGCGUGGGGAGCAAACAGGAUUAGAUACCCUGGUAGUCCACGCCGUAAACGAUGUCUACUUGGAGGUUGUGGCCUUGAGCCGUGGCUUUCGGAGCUAACGCGUUAAGUAGACCGCCUGGGGAGUACGGUCGCAAGAUUAAAACUCAAAUGAAUUGACGGGGGCCCGCACAAGCGGUGGAGCAUGUGGUUUAAUUCGAUGCAACGCGAAGAACCUUACCUACUCUUGACAUCUACAGGAUCUUGCGGAGACGCGGGAGUGCCUUCGGGAACUCUGAGACAGGUGCUGCAUGGCUGUCGUCAGCUCGUGUUGUGAAAUGUUGGGUUAAGUCCCGCAACGAGCGCAACCCUUAUCCUUGUUUGCCAGCACGUAAUGGUGGGAACUCCAGGGAGACUGCCGGUGAUAAACCGGAGGAAGGUGGGGACGACGUCAAGUCAUCAUGGCCCUUACGAGUAGGGCUACACACGUGCUACAAUGGCGCAUACAGAGGGCAGCAAGCUAGCGAUAGUGAGCGAAUCCCAAAAAGUGCGUCGUAGUCCGGAUUGGAGUCUGCAACUCGACUCCAUGAAGUCGGAAUCGCUAGUAAUCGUGAAUCAGAAUGUCACGGUGAAUACGUUCCCGGGCCUUGUACACACCGCCCGUCAAGGGC
rnacentral:rRNA from 1 species